rnacentral:rRNA from 1 species
UACAGAGGUCUCAAGCGUUGUUCGGAUUCACUGGGCGUAAAGGGUGCGUAGGUGGUGAGGUAAGUCGGAUGUGAAAUCUCCGGGCUCAACCCGGAAAUGGCAUUGGAAACUACCUUGCUGGAGGAUUUGAGGGGGGAUUGGAAUACUUGGUGUAGCAGUGAAAUGCGUAGAUAUCAAGUGGAACACCAGUGGCGAAGGCGAAUCCCUGGAAAAUACCUGACACUGAGGCACGAAAGCUAGGGGAGCAAACGGG